GCCGUUAUAGCUCAGAUUGGUAGAGCAACGCAUUCGUAACGCGUAUGUCAUGAGUUCAAAUCUCAUUAACGGCU
rnacentral:tRNA from 2 species